rnacentral:pre_miRNA from 1 species
CCUGAUUUCAAACGGUGGAUAGAUUCCAUAGCAACAGUCUAGCACCAUUUGAAAUCAGUGUU